rnacentral:lncRNA from 1 species
AGAAGAAUAAAAAAAAAAGUAAAGCUUCGGAGGAGAGGAAGGAAACCAUAAAGAUCAUGAUCUUAGUGAAAUUUUAUGAAAAUUGCCCCAUUCAAUUGACAUGAAUUAAUUCCUUGAUAAAUUAAAAUAUGUCACCAAUGGGGUUCGAACCCAAAACCUCCUUGUUAUGGAACAUGCCUUACCACUAGGCUAAGCUCUUGUUGUCAAAUAUGUCUGCAAGGAACAAAU